UCCCCUAAGCCUGUUAGGGACACAUUCUCAUGUCCUUAAAUGUACAAGCAGAUAAUUGUUGGCGCUCUAUCUUUGUGUGAGGAGGCCAGGGUGUAAAUGGCUUUUAAUGACUGCAGCUGCUGGCUGAAAACUGUCAAUGGAAUUGGCUAAUUCAGAGCCCCCGAAUCUUGCGAGCUCUCUGCAUAGUGCCGCUGAAUCCGGACGAGCUGAACUAGAGAGUUACUGUCGAGGGGAGAGAUACCAAGCCAUGAUCGCCAGCAGCAGGGAAAGCAAACAAGAGGACUGGGAAAGCAAACCCCUCUCGACUCGGAAAAUCCUUUCCGGAUCCUGGUGAAGAAAUUUGCAAUGAGUCUUGUUUUCCAUGAAACAAAAUCACUGUAUAACUACUGUAAAUAUACAACACAAAGAAUGAAGGUUUCUCCCUCAAUCCAUCUGCAAGAUCUGUAAGUAUAACCACUUUACUUUACACAUAUUUAACUCCUAAAUUCUUAUGAUGUCAUUAUAAAAUAGGUUAUUUAUACAUUCACAAGAACAUAUGGAGAGAAGUUUA
rnacentral:lncRNA from 1 species